rnacentral:rRNA from 1 species
GAUGAACGCUGGCGGCGUGCUUAACACAUGCAAGUCGAACGGUGAAGGCGGAGCUUGCUCCGCUGGAUCAGUGGCGAACGGGUGAGUAACACGUGAGCAAUCUGCCCCUGACUCUGGGAUAAGCGCUGGAAACGGCGUCUAAUACUGGAUACGAGCUGCGAAGGCAUCUUCAGCAGCUGGAAAGAAUUUCGGUCAGGGAUGAGCUCGCGGCCUAUCAGCUUGUUGGUGAGGUAAUGGCUCACCAAGGCGUCGACGGGUAGCCGGCCUGAGAGGGUGACCGGCCACACUGGGACUGAGACACGGCCCAGACUCCUACGGGAGGCAGCAGUGGGGAAUAUUGCACAAUGGGCGAAAGCCUGAUGCAGCAACGCCGCGUGAGGGACGACGGCCUUCGGGUUGUAAACCUCUUUUAGCAGGGAAGAAGCGAAAGUGACGGUACCUGCAGAAAAAGCGCCGGCUAACUACGUG